UCAGCUUGUUGGUGAGGUAAUGGCUCACCAAGGCGACGACGGGUAGCCGGCCUGAGAGGGUGACCGGCCACACUGGGACUGAGACACGGCCCAGACUCCUACGGGAGGCAGCAGUGGGGAAUAUUGCACAAUGGGCGAAAGCCUGAUGCAGCAACGCCGCGUGAGGGACGACGGCCUUCGGGUUGUAAACCUCUUUUAGUAGGGAAGAAGCGUAACAGUGACGGUACCUGCAGAAAAAGCACCGGCUAACUACGUGCCAGCAGCCGCGGUAAUACGUAGGGUGCAAGCGUUGUCCGGAAUUAUUGGGCGUAAAGAGCUCGUAGGCGGUUUGUCGCGUCUGCUGUGAAAACCCGAGGCUCAACCUCGGGCCUGCAGUGGGUACGGGCAGACUAGAGUGCGGUAGGGGAGAUUGGAAUUCCUGGUGUAGCGGUGGAAUGCGCAGAUAUCAGGAGGAACACCAAUGGCGAAGGCAGAUCUCUGGGCCGUAACUGACGCUGAGGAGCGAAAGCAUGGGGAGCGAACAGGAUUAGAUACCCU
rnacentral:rRNA from 1 species